AUUUAUCUAAUAUAACAGAGUAUACUUGACUUCCAAUCAAAAAGUUUGCAAAAGCAAGAUAAAUA
rnacentral:tRNA from 1 species